GGGGUGUGAUGAGUGGUCAAAACUCACAAAUAAUUGUGAGAGGGGUGUCCGCCCAAGCCUGGUUACGACACAGGGGCACUCCAGUUUGUACCAAUCUGAUCCC
rnacentral:snoRNA from 1 species